rnacentral:rRNA from 1 species
GGGUUGUGAGGUUAAGCGACUAAGCGUACACGGUGGAUGCCCUGGCAGUCAGAGGCGAUGAAGGGCGUGCUAAUCUGCGAUAAGCGCCGGUAAGGUGAUAUGAACCGUUAUAACCGGCGAUACCCGAAUGGGGAAACCCAGUGUGAUUCGUCACACUAUCAUUAACUGAAUCCAUAGGUUAAUGAGGCGAACCGGGGGAACUGAAACAUCUAAGUACCCCGAGGAAAAGAAAUCAACCGAGAUUCCCCCAGUAGCGGCGAGCGAACGGGGAGGAGCCCAGAGCCUGAAUCAGCAUGUGUGUUAGUGGAAGCGUCUGGAAAGGCGCGCGAUACAGGGUGACAGCCCCGUACACAAAAGCGCAUGUGCUGUGAGCUCGAUGAGUAGGGCGGGACACGUGGUAUCCUGUCUGAAUAUGGGGGGACCAUCCUCCAAGGCUAAAUACUCCUGACUGACCGAUAGUGAACCAGUACCGUGAGGGAAAGGCGAAAAGAACCCCGGCGAGGGGAGUGAAAAAGAACCUGAAACCGUGUACGUACAAGCAGUGGGAGCACCCUUUGGGGUGUGACUGCGUACCUUUUGUAUAAUGGGUCAGCGACUUAUAUUCUGUAGCAAGGUUAACCGUAUAGGGGAGCCGGAGGGAAACCGAGUCUUAACCGGGCGUUAAGUUGCAGGGUAUAGACCCGAAACCCGGUGAUCUAGCCAUGGGCAGGUUGAAGGUUGGGUAACACUAACUGGAGGACCGAACCGA